CCCUUAGAUGUUCUGGGCUGCACGCGCGCUACACUGAUGCGUUCAACGAGUUUAUCACCUUGCCCGAUAGGGUUGGGUAAUCUUUUGAAAACGCAUCGUGAUGGGGAUAGAUUAUUGUAAUUAUUAAUCUUCAACGAGGAAUUCCUAGUAAGUGCGAAUCAUCAGUUCGCGCUGAUUACGUCCCUGCCCUUUGUACACACCGCCCGUCGCUCCUACCGAUUGAGUGGUCCGGUGAAUAAUUCGGACUGAGGAUUUAGGCAGUUUCUGCCUUUAUCUUCAGGAAGUCUAGUGAACCUUAUCACUUAGAGGAAGGAGAAGUCGUAACA
rnacentral:rRNA from 1 species